AGUGGGAUAGCUGGGUCAAAAGGUGGUUCCAUUUCAAGUUUUCUAAGAAAACUCCAUACUGCUUUCCAGAUUGGUUGCACCAAUUUGUAGUCCCACCAGCAAU
rnacentral:pre_miRNA from 1 species